rnacentral:rRNA from 1 species
UACGUAGGGGGCAAGCGUUGUCCGGAAUUAUUGGGCGUAAAGGGCGCGUAGGCGGUGCGGUAAGUCACCUGUGAAACCUCUAGGCUCAACCUAGAGCCUGCAGGCGAAACUGCCGUGCUUGAGGGUGGGAGAGGUGCGUGGAAUUCCCGGUGUAGCGGUGGAAUGCGUAGAGAUCCGGAAGAACACCGGUGGCGAAGGCGGCCUGCUGGGCAGUAGCUGACGCUGAGGCGCGACAGCGUGGGGAGCAAACAGG